rnacentral:rRNA from 1 species
UAGUGGCGAACGGGUGAGUAACACGUGAGUAACCUGCCCUUAACUCUGGGAUAAGCCUGGGAAACUGGGUCUAAUACCGGAUAUGACUGACUGUCGCAUGGUGGUUGGUGGAAAGCUUUUUGUGGUUUUGGAUGGACUCGCGGCCUAUCAGCUUGUUGGUGAGGUAAUGGCUUACCAAGGCGACGACGGGUAGCCGGCCUGAGAGGGUGACCGGCCACACUGGGACUGAGACACGGCCCAGACUCCUACGGGAGGCAGCAGUGGGGAAUAUUGCACAAUGGGCGAAAGCCUGAUGCAGCGACGCCGCGUGAGGGAUGACGGCCUUCGGGUUGUAAACCUCUUUCAGUAGGGAAGAAGCGAAAGUGACGGUACCUGCAGAAGAAGCGCCGGCUAACUACGUGCCAGCAGCCGCGGUAAUACGUAGGGCGCAAGCGUUAUCCGGAAUUAUUGGGCGUAAAGAGCUCGUAGGCGGUUUGUCGCGUCUGCCGUGAAAGUCCGGGGCUCAACUCCGGAUCUGCGGUGGGUACGGGCAGACUAGAGUGAUGUAGGGGAGACUGGAAUUCCUGGUGUAGCGGUGAAAUGCGCAGAUAUCAGGAGGAACACCGAUGGCGAAGGCAGGUCUCUGGGCAUUAACUGACGCUGAGGAGCGAAAGCAUGGGGAGCGAACAGGAUUAGAUACCCUGGUAGUCCAUGCCGUAAACGUUGGGCACUAGGUGUGGGGGACAUUCCACGUUUUCCGCGCCGUAGCUAACGCAUUAAGUGCCCCGCCUGGGGAGUACGGCCGCAAGGCUAAAACUCAAAGGAAUUGACGGGGGCCCGCACAAGCGGCGGAGCAUGCGGAUUAAUUCGAUGCAACGCGAAGAACCUUACCAAGGCUUGACAUGGACUGGACUGCCGCAGAAAUGUGGUUUCCCCUUUGGGGCUGGUUCACAGGUGGUGCAUGGUUGUCGUCAGCUCGUGUCGUGAGAUGUUGGGUUAAGUCCCGCAACGAGCGCAACCCUCGUUCUAUGUUGCCAGCACGUGAUGGUGGGGACUCAUAGGAGACUGCCGGGGUCAACUCGGAGGAAGGUGGGGACGACGUCAAAUCAUCAUGCCCCUUAUGUCUUGGGCUUCACGCAUGCUACAAUGGCCGGUACAAAGGGUUGCGAUACUGUGAGGUGGAGCUAAUCCCAAAAAGCCGGUCUCAGUUCGGAUUGGGGUCUGCAACUCGACCCCAUGAAGUCGGAGUCGCUAGUAAUCGCAGAUCAGCAACGCUGCGGUGAAUACGUUCCCGGGCCUUGUACACACCGCCCGUCAAGUCACGAAAGUUGGUAACACCCGAAGCCGGUGGCCUAAC